CCUUUGAGUGCGUUGUUGGAGCUGUACACUACCGCCUCCCCUGAUCUUAGGACGGGUCCUGCAGGAGAUUCUCCAGCGGUUGGCAGGAGCGUCUGGGCGCUUUGGUAGAGCGCCCGGAGAGCGCUGUUCUUCUCUACUGGGGGGGAGAACCAUCCCCUAGCUUGAAGAGACUCACUGUUGCAGACUUUCCACAGCAAGAAUGACGUUCCUGUUCUUAUGCUGCAGCUCUUUGCUUCUGGGUCAGAGCGAUCUGCUGUGGGGCGAAGAUCUCCAUUAAGGUGCAUCAAAGCUGCCUGGUGGUGUUGGAGCACAGUUACCGCCCUUUGUGGCCUGUGUUUCCGUUCUCGUGUGUUGGCAAAGACUGACGGAGAAAGUGUGGAGCAGGGAACCCUGAUUUUGUUGGAUCAUCGUCAGCUUCCAAGGAAAAGCCGCUGAAGGGAUAUGGAAAUGCUCCUCCUUGGAUGAUUGGAAGGAAGAGGCAUCCAUGAUCUGAAUCAAGCCUGAUGAUGCUUCAUUCAUCCUUCUAAUUUGCACCACUUCAGUUUCUAUGUGCUCAUCCCCAUCAUCCUUGUCAGUGGCACUUUCAGAUUCUUGGCUAGGGUUUCCAUGACAAAAUACUAUGGCCUGGGGAACGUAAGCAACAGUCAUUUCUUCUCUCACGGUUCUGGAGGCUGGACCUCCAAGAUCAAGGUGACGACAACAGGGAUGGCUUCGAGGGUGUCCUCUCUUGCCUGCCUCUAGAUGGCUGCCUUCAGGCUCUGUCCUCACAUGGCCUUUCCUCUAAGUCUCCACGUAAUAAGCCCUGGUCUCGUCUGUUAUUGCCCCACCCUUAGGAUAUUAAGAAGCAACAGCUCUUUCUGUCUCCCCAUUCAAGGCUUUACACUCUAUGCAUCUAGUGUGUGAAUAAACAAUUCUUUGAGGACAUCAACCUCACCCAGUUUCUUUUGUUUAUGUAUGUAUCUUUUUAGGGCUGCACCUGUGGCACAUGGGCGUUCCCAGUCUAUGUAGGGGUCAGUCGGAGCUUCAGUGGAUGAUCCAUGUCUCAGCAACAGCAGAAUUGGAGCUGAGCCACUUCAGAGACCUACAUCACAGCUCACAGCAACACCUGAACCUCACCCCACAGAGCAAGGCCAGGGAUUGAACCCACCUGCUCAUGGAUCGGAUGCAUUGCUGCUGCUCCACCACGGGACCUCAGACCUUAGAGAAUUUCGCACUACACCUUCCUCAGAGAGGCUGAACCGGCAGUAUCUGAAUGAACUCAGCCAAUUCCAGACCCACUGGCACCAUCUGAAAUAAUAAUAAAUGUUGAUGUUUGAAACUGC
rnacentral:lncRNA from 1 species